rnacentral:lncRNA from 1 species
CAAUAAAAAUCCCAGCAGCAGGCAUCUUCUGAAGGCGAGAAUCUGAAAUCAAGGUGUCGGCAGAGCCAUUUUCCCUCUGAAACAUCCUGCCCUCUUCCUAACUUCUAGUGGUUUGCAGCAAUCACAGGCAUUCCUUAGUUUGCAGCUGCCUAACUCCAAUCUCUGCCUUUGUCAUCGUAUGGCAUUUCCCCUGUGUGUGUCUGUG